rnacentral:rRNA from 1 species
GACGAACGCUGGCGGCGUGCUUAACACAUGCAAGUCGAACGGAAAGGCCCUGCUUUUGUGGGGUGCUCGAGUGGCGAACGGGUGAGUAACACGCGAGUAACCUGCCCUUGACUUUGGGAUAACUUCAGGAAACUGGGGCUAAUACCGGAUAGGAGCUCCUGCUGCAUGGUGGGGGUUGGAAAGUUUCGGCGGUUGGGGAUGGACUCGCGGCUUAUCAGCUUGUUGGUGGGGUAGUGGCUUACCAAGGCUUUGACGGGUAGCCGGCCUGAGAGGGUGACCGGCCACAUUGGGACUGAGAUACGGCCCAGACUCCUACGGGAGGCAGCAGUGGGGAAUAUUGCACAAUGGGCGGAAGCCUGAUGCAGCAACGCCGCGUGCGGGAUGACGGCCUUCGGGUUGUAAACCGCUUUCGCCUGUGACGAAGCGUGAGUGACGGUAAUGGGUAAAGAAGCACCGGCUAACUAUGUG